rnacentral:rRNA from 1 species
GGAAAGGCGCGCGAUACAGGGUGACAGCCCCGUACACAAAAAUGCACAUGCUGUGAGCUCGAUGAGUAGGGCGGGACACGUGGUAUCCUGUCUGAAUAUGGGGGGACCAUCCUCCAAGGCUAAAUACUCCUGACUGACCGAUAGUGAACCAGUACCGUGAGGGAAAGGCGAAAAGAACCCCGGCGAGGGGAGUGAAAAAGAACCUGAAACCGUGUACGUACAAGCAGUGGGAGCUCGCUUAGGCGUGUGACUGCGUACCUUUUGUAUAAUGGGUCAGCGACUUAUAUUCUGUAGCAAGGUUAACCGAAUAGGGGAGCCGAAGGGAAACCGAGUCUUAACUGGGCGUUAAGUUGCAGGGUAUAGACCCGAAACCCGGUGAUCUAGCCAUGGGCAGGUUGAAGGUUGGGUAACACUAACUGGAGGACCGAACCGACUAAUGUUGAAAAAUUAGCGGAUGACUUGUGGCUGGGGGUGAAAGGCCAAUCAAACCGGGAGAUAGCUGGUUCUCCCCGAAAGCUAUUUAGGUAGCGCCUCGUGAAUUCAUCUCCGGGGGUAGAGCACUGUUUCGGCAAGGGGGUCAUCCCGACUUACCAACCCGAUGCAAACUGCGAAUACCGGAGAAUGUUAUCACGGGAGACACACGGCGGGUGCUAACGUCCGUCGUGAAGAGGGAAACAACCCAGACCGCCAGCUAAGGUCCCAAAGUCAUGGUUAAGUGGGAAACGAUGUGGGAAGGCCCAGACAGCCAGGAUGUUGGCUUAGAAGCAGCCAUCAUUUAAAGAAAGCGUAAUAGCUCACUGGUCGAGUCGGCCUGCGCGGAA